rnacentral:rRNA from 1 species
AGACUGGAUAGGAGACAAGAAGGCAUCUUCUUGUUUUUAAAAGACCUAGCAAUAGGUAUGCUUAGGGAGGAGCUUGCGUCACAUUAGUUAGUUGGUGGGGUAAAGGCCUACCAAGACUAUGAUGUGUAGCCGGGCUGAGAGGUUGAACGGCCACAUUGGGACUGAGACACGGCCCAAACUCCUACGGGAGGCAGCAGUAGGGAAUUUUCGGCAAUGGAGGAAACUCUGACCGAGCAACGCCGCGUGAACGAUGAAGUAUUUCGGUACGUAAAGUUCUUUUAUUAGGGAAGAAUAAAUGAUGGAAAAAUCAUUCUGACGGUACCUAAUGAAUAAGCCCCGGCUAACUAUGUGCCAGCAGCCGCGGUAAUACAUAGGGGGCAAGCGUUAUCCGGAAUUAUUGGGCGUAAAGGGUGCGUAGGCGGUUAAAUAAGUUUAUGGUCUAAGUGCAAUGCUCAACAUUGUGAUGCUAUAAAAACUGUUUAGCUAGAGUAAGAUAGAGGCAAGUGGAAUUCCAUGUGUAGUGGUAAAAUGCGUAAAUAUAUGGAGGAACACCAGUAGCGAAGGCGGCUUGCUGGGUCUUUACUGACGCUGAGGCACGAAAGCGUGGGGAGCAAACAGGAUUAGAUACCCUGGUAGUCCACGCCGUAAACGAUGAGUACUAAACGUUGGGUAAAACCAGUGUUGAAGUUAACACAUUAAGUACUCCGCCUGAGUAGUACGUACGCAAGUAUGAAACUUAAAGGAAUUGACGGGACUCCGCACAAGCGGUGGAUCAUGUUGUUUAAUUCGAAGGUACCCGAAAAACCUCACCAGGUCUUGACAUGCUUCUGCAAAGCUGUAGAAACACAGUGGAGGUUAUCAGUUGCACAGGUGGUGCAUGGUUGUCGUCAGCUCGUGUCGUGAGAUGUUGGGUUAAGUCCCGCAACGAGCGCAACCCUUAUUGUUAGUUACCAGCACGUAAUGGUGGGGACUUUAGCAAGACUGCCAGUGAUAAAUUGGAGGAAGGUGGGGACGACGUCAAAUCAUCAUGCCCCUUAUGACCUGGGCUACAAACGUGAUACAAUGGCUGUUACAAAGGGUAGCUGAAGCGCAAGUUUUUGGCGAAUCUCAAAAAAACAGUCUCAGUUCGGAUUGAAGUCUGCAACUCGACUUCAUGAAGUUGGAAUCGCUAGUAAUCGCGAAUCAGCAUGUCGCGGUGAAUACGUUCUCGGGGUUUGUACACACCGCCCGUCAAACCACGAAAGUUGGCAAUACCCAAAGCCGGUGGCCUAACUUCGCAAGAAGAGGGAACCGUCUAAGGUAGGGUCGAUGAUUGG